rnacentral:rRNA from 1 species
GACGAACGCUGGCGGCGUGCUUAACACAUGCAAGUCGAACGGGAAGGCCUGCUUUCCCUUGUGGAUUGCGGGUACUCGAGUGGCGAACGGGUGAGUAACACGUGAGUGAUCUGCCCCCAACUUGGGUAUAAGCCUGGGAAACUGGGUCUAAUUCCCGAUAGGACUGCAGGGUGGUGCCUGUGGUGGAAAACGAUUUUCUAGUGGUUGGGGAUGAGCUCGCGGCCUAUCAGCUUGUUGGUGGGGUAAUGGCCUACCAAGGCGGCGACGGGUAGCCGGCCUGGGAGGGUGGACGGCCACAUUGGGACUGAGAUACGGCCCAGACUCCUACGGGAGGCAGCAGUGGGGAAUAUUGCACAAGGGGCGGAAGCCUGAUGCAGCGACGCCGCGUGGGGGAUGACGGCCUUCGGGUUGUAAACUCCUUUCGACCGCGAGGAAGCCACCUGGUUGGAAGGGUGGUGACGGUAGUGGUAGAAGAAGCACCGGCUAACUACGUG